GGUAUUACUUAAAUCUGUUGCUUU
rnacentral:snRNA from 1 species